rnacentral:tRNA from 1 species
GGAGUUGUAGCUCAGUGGUAGAGUGCUUGCCUCGCAUGCAUGAGGCUCUGGGUUCGAUCCUCGGCACCA